rnacentral:rRNA from 1 species
AGAGUUUGAUCCUGGCUCAGGACGAACGCUGGCGGCGUGCCUAACACAUGCAAGUCGAACGGGAUCCAUGAGAGCUUGCUCUCGGAAGAUCUAGUGGCGAACGGGUGAGUAACACGUGAGAAACCUGCCUUGGAGUGGGGAAUAACUCGGGGAAACUCGAGCUAAUACCGCAUACCUUCUUUUGAUCGCAUGGUCAGCUGAAGAAAGAAUUUCGCUCCAAGAGGGUCUCGCGGCCUAUCAGUUUGUUGGUGGGGUAACGGCCUACCAAGACUACGACGGGUAACUGGUUUGAGAGAACGAUCAGCCACACUGGAACUGAGACACGGUCCAGACUCCUACGGGAGGCAGCAGUGGGGAAUCUUGCGCAAUGGGCGAAAGCCUGACGCAGCAACGCCGCGUGCGGGAUGAAGGCCUUCGUGGUUGUAAACCGCUUUCAGCAGGGACGAAAAUGACGGUACCUGCAGAAGAAGCCCCGGCUAACUACGUGCCAGCAGCCGCGGUAAUACGUAGGGGGCGAGCGUUGUCCGGAAUCAUUGGGCGUAAAGAGCCCGUAGGCGGUUCAGUAAGUCAGGUGUGAAAGCUCCGAGCUCAACUCGGAGAGGCCACCUGAUACUGCUGUGACUAGAAUCCAGUAGGGGAGUGUGGAACUCCUGGUGUAGCGGUGAAAUGCGCAGAUAUCAGGAAGAACACCAGCGGCGAAGGCGGCACUCUGGGCUGGUAUUGACGCUGAGGAGCGAAAGUGUGGGUAGCAAACAGGAUUAGAUACCCUGGUAGUCCACACCGUAAACGUUGGGCACUAGGUGUGGGGAGGAUCAACCCUUUCCGUGCCGUAGCUAACGCAUUAAGUGCCCCGCCUGGGGAGUACGGCCGCAAGGCUAAAACUCAAAGGAAUUGACGG